rnacentral:rRNA from 1 species
CCUACGGGGGGCUGCAGUGGGGAAUAUUGGACAAUGGGGGGAACCCUGAUCCAGCCAUGCCGCGUGUGUGAAGAAGGCCCUCGGGUUGUAAAGCACUUUCAGUGAGGAAGAACGCCUGGUGGUUAAUACCCAUCAGGAAAGACAUCACUCACAGAAGAAGCACCGGCUAACUCCGUGCCAGCAGCCGCGGUAAUACGGAGGGUGCGAGCGUUAAUCGGAAUUACUGGGCGUAAAGCGCGCGUAGGUGGCUUGAUAAGCCGGUUGUGAAAGCCCCGGGCUCAACCUGGGAACGGCAUCCGGAACUGUCAAGCUAGAGUGCAGGAGAGGAAGGUAGAAUUCCCGGUGUAGCGGUGAAAUGCGUAGAGAUCGGGAGGAAUACCAGUGGCGAAGGCGGCCUUCUGGACUGACACUGACAUUGAGGUGCGAAAGCGUGGGUAGCAAACAGGAUUAGAUACCCCUGUAGUC